AAGGAGACCUGCUUUGAGUGAAGUACAGCUAAGACUGAGGAAGAGCGAGUGUAGGAAUGCUGAAAAAGGUAUUACAUAAAUCUAUCACUGAAAAAUAUUGGCAGUCCACAGGAAUAGCUCAUAAUAAGGGUAGAUUCUCCCCAAUGCCUACUUUUGAAGAGGCUAUAGAGGAUCACGGCGAUCUUCCAGAGAGCAGAAUGGUGACACCCAGACUGACCGGCCAAGAAAUCCCCACGCUGUAGGACGGGGAGU